rnacentral:sRNA from 1 species
AGAGUGUGGGUCAGUAUAGCAUCUUUUGCUCCUUUACGUCAGGAAUCGAUUGGGUCCCUGCCUUUUUCUCACCAUUCUGUAUGCAUCCUUCUUAAAGUUGUGUACUUGAUGGAAGAGGACAGCCCUCUCCAGGGAAAUUGGAGGACAUAUCUUUAGUCAGAGACCUCUAAGUCCCUGUGAUCCUUUGUUAAAAUAUUCAAAUUCCACAAAAGCUCUGUGCACACAAGCGAAAUGACAGCCUUGGAAAGUAAGCCAUGUAUAGGAUAUGGCAGAUACUAGGUCAGUUCUU